GCGGUUCUUCACAGUCCACACACACAAAGAUACACCAGAAGAACGAUCAGACAUCCACAUCAACUCAUUUCAUUUCAGGUAAAAUCCAAAACAUAUCUUAGAAUGGAAACCAGUGAGGUCAUCUCAACGGACAAAGCGACAGUUGUCAUUCAAAUAAAUCCACAGGAGGCAAAAGAUGGUGUUGUUUUUGUUGAUGGACAGCAGGCCAGGGGAGUAUCUCACAAUUCAGCUCUUAAAGGAUUUUUCAAAGCACAACCAAAGGCACUGGGGGCUGUACAGAUAAUGAUUGGAGUGAUGGUCUUCUUACUUGGUAUUGUACUCACCGCAAAUUUCCCCAUAUUUAGUACCUUUUCUGUCGCUAGUGGCAUCACCUUCUGGGGAUCUUUCAUUUACAUCAGUGCUGGCUCUCUGUCUGUUGAGGCG
rnacentral:lncRNA from 1 species